GGGCGUGUGGCUCAGUGGGAGAGCGUCCGGUUCGCAUCCGGGAGGUCGCGGGUUCGAAUCCCGCCACGUCCACCA
rnacentral:tRNA from 1 species